UAGUCCACGCCGUAAACGGUGGAUACUAGCUGUCCGGGACCUUGAGUCCUGGGCGGCCAAGCGAAAGUGAUAAGUAUCCCACCUGGGGAGUACGUUCGCAAGAAUGAAACUCAAAGGAAUUGACGGGGGCCCGCACAAGCGGUGGAGCAUGUGGUUUAAUUCGAUGAUACGCGAGGAACCUUACCAGGGCUUAAAUGCAUAUUGACAGGGGUAGAGAUACCUUUUCCUUCGGGCAAUUUGCAAGGUGCUGCAUGGUUGUCGUCAGCUCGUGCCGUGAGGUGUCAGGUUAAGUCCUAUAACGAGCGCAACCCCUGUUGUUAGUUGCCAGCGAGUCAAGUCGGGAACUCUAACAAGACUGCCGGUGCAAACCGUGAGGAAGGUGGGGAUGACGUCAAAUCAUCACGGCCCUUACGUCCUGGGCUACACACGUGCUACAAUGGUAGGUACAGAGAGCAGCCACAACGCGAGUUGGAGCGAAUCUAUAAAACCUAUCACAGUUCGGAUCGGAGUCUGCAA
rnacentral:rRNA from 1 species